rnacentral:rRNA from 1 species
UACGUAGGGGGCAAGCGUUGUCCGGAAUCAUUGGGCGUAAAGCGCGUGUAGGCGGUUCGGUAAGUCGGCUGUGAAAGUCCAGGGCUCAACCCUGGGAUGCCGGUGGAUACUGUCGGGCUCGAGUCCGGAAGAGGCGAGUGGAAUUCCUGGUGUAGCGGUGAAAUGCGCAGAUAUCAGGAGGAACACCAAUGGCGAAGGCAGCUCGCUGGGACGUGACUGACGCUGAGACGCGAAAGCGUGGGGAGCAAACAGG